rnacentral:tRNA from 1 species
GUUAAUGUAGCUUAAAAUCCAAAGCAAAGCACUGAAAAUGCUUAGAUGGACACUACUGUCCCAUAAACA